rnacentral:rRNA from 1 species
AGUGAACGCUGGCGGUAGGCCUAACACAUGCAAGUCGAACGGCAGCACAGUAAGAGCUUGCUCUUACGGGUGGCGAGUGGCGGACGGGUGAGGAAUACAUCGGAAUCUACUUUUUCGUGGGGGAUAACGUAGGGAAACUUACGCUAAUACCGCAUACGACCUACGGGUGAAAGCAGGGGAUCUUCGGACCUUGCGCGAUUGGAUGAGCCGAUGUCGGAUUAGCUAGUUGGCGGGGUGAAGGCCCACCAAGGCGACGAUCCGUAGCUGGUCUGAGAGGAUGAUCAGCCACACUGGAACUGAGACACGGUCCAGACUCCUACGGGAGGCAGCAGUGGGGAAUAUUGGACAAUGGGCGCAAGCCUGAUCCAGCCAUACCGCGUGGGUGAAGAAGGCCUUCGGGUUGUAAAGCCCUUUUGUUGGGAAAGAAAAGCAGCAGGUUAAUACCCCGCUGUUCUGACGGUACCCAAAGAAUAAGCACCGGCUAACUUCGUG